CCUUUUGGCACUCAUAGUCAGCAAUACAAGCAAUCAAGCAAAUCUACUGAAUUGUUAGAAAACAAAUCCUUUUGGCAACAUUCUAUAGACGAAGAAACAUCACCGGGAACUUUGUGCUUUCAACGGAGCAACUCCACGGUAACUAGUUUGUGAUGCUCCAAUACUCAACAAGAUGACAAUAAAAUGAAUGUUUCAACUUAGAAACAGGGAAAAUGACCAUAGAUAUCAUCAUAUCAAUGUCAAAACUUUAUACUCAGAAAAAUAGCUGUAAAUUAAACAGGAAACAAGAAUUUGGACAUUAAAUCAAGAAACCCAGGAAAAGAUGAACAUACACAGAACAUAAUCAUUUAUUAUUACAAAAUCAAAAUGAAAAAUGUGAUACUGAUGCAAGUAUUUGUGCCAUAUGCUGUCAAUAAAACUUAAGUUUAGCAAAGAUACUACCAUAUGCAUACAUAGAAUUUGACUAAAAAUGAAAAAUAAAAUAAGCAUUUAAACUUGUUAAAGAGUCAUCCUAAGUAUUUCCUUAAGAUUAUCCCCUCAAAGCCAUCAUUCUCAUAAGACACAGGCAGCUGGAUUAAAUAGACAUCUAUAGCUAAAGCCAUCAUUUUUCCACAUAACAUAA
rnacentral:misc_RNA from 1 species